rnacentral:rRNA from 1 species
CACGUAGGGUGCGAGCGUUGUCCGGAAUUAUUGGGCGUAAAGGGCUCGUAGGCGGUCUGUUGCGUCGGGAGUGAAAACUUACAGCUUAACUGUGAGCGUGCUUCCGAUACGGGCAGACUUGAGGUAUUCAGGGGAGAACGGAAUUCCUGGUGUAGCGGUGAAAUGCGCAGAUAUCAGGAGGAACACCGGUGGCGAAGGCGGGUCUCUGGGCCGAUACUGACGCUGAGGAGCGAAAGCGUGGGGAGCGAACAGG